rnacentral:rRNA from 1 species
UACGGGGGGGGGCAAGCGUUGUUCGGAAUUACUGGGCGUAAAGGGCUCGUAGGCGGCCAACUAAGUCAGACGUGAAAUCCCUCGGCUUAACCGGGGAACUGCGUCUGAUACUGGAUGGCUUGAGUUUGGGAGAGGGAUGCGGAAUUCCAGGUGUAGCGGUGAAAUGCGUAGAUAUCUGGAGGAACUCCGGUGGCGAAGGCGGGUCUCUGGGCCGAAACUGACGCUGAGGAGCGAAAGCGUGGGGAGCAAACAGG